CAAUAGCGUAUAUUAAAGUUGUUGCAGUUAAAAAGCUCGUAGUUGGAUUUGUGGUGUACUUCGGCGGCCCGUCACUAUGUGAUGGAGCUUGCUGAAGUCGCCAUCCUUGGGUGGAUCCUGUGUGGCAUUAAGUUGUCGUGCAGGGGAUGCCCAUCGUUUACUGUGAAAAAAUUAGAGUGUUCAAAGCAGGCUUAUGCCGUUGAAUAUGUUAGCAUGGAAUAAUAAGAUAGGACCUUGGUACUAUUUUGUUGGUUUGCGCACCAAGGUAAUGAUUAAUAGGGACAGUUGGGGUAUUCGUAUUUCAUUGUCAGAGGUGAAAUUCUUGGAUUUUUGAAAGACGAACUACUGCGAAAGCAUUUACCAAGGAUGUUUNCAUUAA
rnacentral:rRNA from 1 species